AGGUAUCAUAGAUAAAUAAUACUACUAAUACUAAUAAUAAUAAUGGAUUCAGAUGAGACGAUGGACAUUGAAAGAUUACUUUUAAAUUCUCAAGAGCCUAAAGAAAACAGUAUACAAGAGAACGUAUUAGCUAACAAAGAUAACCAGAAGAGUGAGGAGAGUGAGAAGGAUGG